rnacentral:rRNA from 1 species
GACGAACGCUGGCGGCGUGCCUAAUACAUGCAAGUAGAACGCUGAAGAGAGGAGCUUGCUCUUCUUGGCUGAGUUGCGAACGGGUGAGUAACGCGUAGGUAACCUGCCUUGUAGCGGGGGAUAACUAUUGGAAACGAUAGCUAAUACCGCAUAACAAUGGAUGACACAUGUCAUUUAUUUGAAAGGGGCAAUUGCUCCACUACAAGAUGGACCUGCGUUGUAUUAGCUAGUAGGUGAGGUAACGGCUCACCUAGGCGACGAUACAUAGCCGACCUGAGAGGGUGAUCGGCCACACUGGGACUGAGACACGGCCCAGACUCCUACGGGAGGCAGCAGUAGGGAAUCUUCGGCAAUGGGGGCAACCCUGACCGAGCAACGCCGCGUGAGUGAAGAAGGUUUUCGGAUCGUAAAGCUCUGUUGUAAGUCAAGAACGAGUGUGAGAGUGGAAAGUUCACACUGUGACGGUAGCUUACCAGAAAGGGACGGCUAACUACGUG